AUCUGUGGUCUACUUGCCUGUGUCAGCAACAUACUUUGAAGCAAAUGCAGCUGGCAUAACAUCAUUUGUGCAUCAUUUUCAUCCUGAAAUCCCCAUCAAUGAUGAAAGGGUCGAUUGAUUUCGGCACUCUGAUACAUCUACAAGUUCUUGAAAGUUUGGUCAGGAGUCACUGCCCAGGGUCCAAUUUGUACAGUCCUUGUCAUUCUUUGUUCACAUAUUACUGUACAUGUAGAAUUGAAGGUUGCUGAUAUACUAUAAACCAGGUGAAUGAACGAUACACAAUGAGACCGCGAAGGCGAAUACAACAUAAGGAACGGAAAUGUGCAAACCAAAGAAGGGUGAAUGAACGAUACACAAUGAGACCGCGAAGGCGAAUACAACAUAAGGAACGGAAAUGUGCAAACCAAAGAAGGUAAAAGAUGAUGCCGAUGAGAGCGAUAGGCAUGGUGAAGGAGGUUUCGAUAUUUUAUAUCUCCAUUGUAGUUUAUA